UUUUUGUGGCCUUUUUCCGCUGGACGAACUUGACGUCCCGGCUUUCGGGCGGUUAUUUUUGGGUGCGGUUUGCCCGCGGCCUAUUUUUUGCACACGGAGGCCCCUCGCAAAGUCUCGCGGCAUUCCGAGUCCGGCGGACGAAUCUGGCCAGCCCCACCCCCCAAGGCUAUAGCCCACCCGUUUUUGUGGCCUUUUUCCGCUGGACGAACUUGGCGCCCCGGCCUUCGGGCGGUUAUUUUUAGGCGUGCUUUGCCCGCGGAUUAUUUAUGGCACACGGAGAUCCCUUGCAAAGUCACGCGGCAUUCCGAGUCCGGCGGACGAAGUUGGCCAGCCCCACCACCCAAGGUUAUAGCCCACCCGUUUUUGUGGCCUUUUUCCGCCGGACGAACUUGACGCCCCGGCCUUCGGGAGUUAUUUUUGGGCGCGCCUUUGCCUGUGGCCUAUUUUUGGCACAUGGAGACCCCUCGCUAAGUCUCGCGGCAUUCUGAGUCCGGCGGACGAAGUUGGCCAGCCCCACUCCCCAAGGCUAUAGCCCACCCGUUUUUGUGGCCUUUUUCCGCUGGACGAACUUGGCGCCCCGGCCUUCGGGCGGUUAUAUUUUUGUGCGGCUUUG
rnacentral:lncRNA from 1 species